GGGUUGUGAGGUUAAGCGACUAAGCGUACACGGUGGAUGCCCUGGCAGUCAGAGGCGAUGAAGGACGUGCUAAUCUGCGAUAAGCGUCGGUAAGGUGAUAUGAACCGUUAUAACCGGCGAUUUCCGAAUGGGGAAACCCAGUGUGAUUCGACACACUAUCAUUAACUGAAUCCAUAGGUUAAUGAGGCGAACCGGGGGAACUGAAACAUCUAAGUACCCCGAGGAAAAGAAAUCAACCGAGAUUCCCCCAGUAGCGGCGAGCGAACGGGGAGCAGCCCAGAGCCUGAAUCAGUGUGUGUGUUAGUGGAAGCGUCUGGAAAGGCGCGCGAUACAGGGUGACAGCCCCGUACACAAAAAUGCACAUGCUGUGAGCUCGAUGAGUAGGGCGGGACACGUGGUAUCCUGUCUGAAUAUGGGGGGACCAUCCUCCAAGGCUAAAUACUCCUGACUGACCGAUAGUGAACCAGUACCGUGAGGGAAAGGCGAAAAGAACCCCGGCGAGGGGAGUGAAAAAGAACCUGAAACCGUGUACGUACAAGCAGUGGGAGCCUCUUUUAUGGGGUGACUGCGUACCUUUUGUAUAAUGGGUCAGCGACUUAUAUUCUGUAGCAAGGUUAACCGAAUAGGGGAGCCGAAGGGAAACCGAGUCUUAACUGGGCGUUAAGUUGCAGGGUAUAGACCCGAAACCCGGUGAUCUAGCCAUGGGCAGGUUGAAGGUUGGGUAACACUAACUGGAGGACCGAACCGACUAAUGUUGAAAAAUUAGCGGAUGACUUGUGGCUGGGGGUGAAAGGCCAAUCAAACCGGGAGAUAGCUGGUUCUCCCCGAAAGCUAUUUAGGUAGCGCCUCGUGAA
rnacentral:rRNA from 1 species